rnacentral:rRNA from 1 species
AUGUCUAUUUUAUUUUGCCAACGUCAAAUUUCAUAUUCAUGUCAAUUACUCAUAACCUCUUUCAUGUUCAUUACAGCUUACGGUGUGUUUACUGUCGAACCGUUGACAGGUAGUAACUUCCCUCGUUGGAAGAAUUCGAUGGAAUUAUGCCUAGCCGUCCAUCAGUUUGAUUAUGCUUUACGGGAGGAUAAACCCGUGGCUCCCGCUGCUGGUGUCACGGGGUAUGCUGAACUAAAGAAAACUUAUGAUUCCAAGAUGGAAAUAUGGGAAAAGUUAAAUCACAUUGCUAUGCUUGUGAUGAGAUCAUCCAUAUCACCUGACAUAAUUGGGGCACUACCCAAGAAAGAUACUCCUAAGGAAUUCAUGGCAGCCCUGGAGGAGCAAUUCAAAGGCUCCGACAAGGUUUAUGCGCAAGAACUUUUUCACAAGCUCCUUGGGAAGUAUAAUAAUGAUGGUACUGUCAGGGCUCACAUUUUAAAGAUGGUGAAUGCUUGUAACAAAUUUAAGGCAUUACAAUGUGAGCUCAAUGAUAAUCUCCUUGUCAUCAUGAUCUUGGACUCCCUCCCUGAAGAGUUUGAUCAAUUUAAGAUUAACUAUAACUCUCUUAAAGAGAAAUGGACAAUCGCGGAGAUAUCUCCAAGAAUUGUCGAGGAAGAAGAGAGGAUUAAGAGGCAAGAAAAGGUCCAAGCCUUUUUGGUUGGCUCCUCCAAGAGAAAACACGAUGGAGCAAGAUCUUCUAAGCAACAACCAUAA